rnacentral:rRNA from 1 species
GAUGAACGCUGGCGGCGUGCCUAAUACAUGCAAGUCGAGCGAACAGACGAGGAGCUUGCUCCUCUGACGUUAGCGGCGGACGGGUGAGUCACACGUGGAUAACCUACCUAUAAGACUGGGAUAACUUCGGGAAACCGGAGCUAAUACCGGAUAAUAUAUUGAACCGCAUGGUUCAAUAGUGAAAGACGGUUUUGCUGUCACUUCUAGCUGGAUCCGCGCCGCAUUAGCUAGUUGGUAAGGUAACGGCUUACCAAGGCAACGAUGCGUAGCCGACCUGAGAGGGUGAUCGGCCACACUGGAGCGGAGACACGGUCCAGACUCCUACGGGAGGCAGCAGUAGGGAAUCGUCCGCAAUGGGCGAAAGCCUGACGGAGCAACGCCGCGUGAGUGAUGAAGGUCUUCGGAUCGUAAAACUCUGUUAUUAGGGAAGAACAAAUGUGUAAGUAACUAUGCACGUCUUGACGGUACCUAAUCAGAAAGCCACGGCUAACUACGUG